rnacentral:rRNA from 1 species
ACGAAGGUGGCAACCGUUGCUCGGAUUCACUGGGCAUAAAGCGCGCGUAGGUGGCUAGGCAGGUCACUGGUGAAAUCCCACGGCUCAACCGUGGACCCGCCAGUGAAACCGCCUUGCUUGAGGACGAGAGGGGAGAAUGGAACUCUUGGUGUAGCGGUGAAAUGUGUAGAUAUCCGGAAGAACACCGGUGGCGAAGGCGGCCCGCUGGGCAGUCUGCUGACGCUGAGGCGCGACAGCGUGGGGAGCAAACAGGA